rnacentral:miRNA from 1 species
CAAAGGGCAAUCAGCCAUGUC